GUGAGUAACACGUGGGUAACCUGCCUCAAAGAGGGGGAUAGCCUUCCGAAAGGAAGAUUAAUACCGCAUAAUAUCAUUUCAAUGCAUGUUGAAAUGAUUAAAGGAGUAAUCCGCUUUGAGAUGGACCCGCGGCGCAUUAGCUAGUUGGUGAGGUAACGGCUCACCAAGGCGACGAUGCGUAGCCGAGCGCAAUGGGGGAA
rnacentral:rRNA from 1 species